rnacentral:rRNA from 1 species
UGGGGAAUAUUGCACAAUGGGGGAAACCCUGAUGCAGCGACGCCGCGUGAAGGAAGAAGUAUCUCGGUAUGUAAACUUCUAUCAGCAGGGAAGAGAAUGACGGUACCUGACUAAGAAGCCCCGGCUAACUACGUGCCAGCAGCCGCGGUAAUACGUAGGGGGCAAGCGUUAUCCGGAUUUACUGGGUGUAAAGGGAGCGUAGACGGAGCAGCAAGUCUGAUGUGAAAGGCAGGGGCUCAACCCCUGGACUGCAUUGGAAACUGCUGAUCUUGAGUACCGGAGGGGUAAGCGGAAUUCCUAGUGUAGCGGUGAAAUGCGUAGAUAUUAGGAGGAACACCAGUGGCGAAGGCGGCUUACUGGACGGUAACUGACGUUGAGGCUCGAAAGCGUGGGGAGCAAACA